rnacentral:rRNA from 1 species
CCUACGGGAGGCAGCAGUGAGGAAUAUUGGUCAAUGGCCGCAGGGCUGAACCAGCCAAGUCGCGUGAGGGAUGACGGUCCUAUGGAUUGUAAACCUCUUUUGUCAGGGAGCAAAGGGCGCCACGUGUGGCGCUUUGCGAGUACCUGAAGAAAAAGCAUCGGCUAACUCCGUGCCAGCAGCCGCGGUAAUACGGAGGAUGCGAGCGUUAUCCGGAUUUAUUGGGGUUAAGGGGUGCGCAGGCGGAAUGUCAAGUCAGCGGUAAAAUUUCGGGGCUCAACCCCGUCGUGCCGUUGAAACUGGCGUUCUUGAGUGAGCGAGAAGUAGGCGGAAUGCGUGGUGUAGCGGUGAAAUGCAUAGAUAUCACGCAGAACUCCGAUUGCGAAGGCAGCAUACCGGCGCUCAACUGACGCUCAUGCACGAAAGCGUGGGUAUCGAACAGGAUUAGAUACCCUAGUAGUC